rnacentral:lncRNA from 1 species
AUCCGACUAAGUCCGUUUGUCUUCUUCAUGGAAUCAUUCUUCUUCCUUGCGGGAUUUCAGGCAAGAUGACCAUACCCUCGAAAUCACUUCUAUCUUUGCUUACUAGAUGCUCGCUCUUUUGCUAUCCCUAUGUUGCGAUACCUACCACUUGCUUAUCAUGCCUCCCAUAUUGCCAUGCCAAGCCUCUAACCCACCUUGUCCUAGCAAACCGUUGUUUGGCUAUGUUACAGCUUUGCUCAGCCCCUCUUAUAGCGUUGUUAGUUGCAGGUGAAGAUUGGAGAUCGUUCCUUGUUGGAACAUGUUUAUUGUUGGGAUAUCACAAUAUUAUCUUGUUUAAUUAAUGCAUCUAUAUACUUGGUAAAGGGUGGAAGGCUCGGCCUUAUGCCUGGUGUUUUGUUCCACUCUUGCCGCCCUAGUUUCCAUCAUACCGGUGUUAUGUUCCUUGAUUUUGCGUUCCUUACACGGUUGGGUUAUAAUGGGAACCCCUUGACAGUUCGCCUUGAAUAAAAAUCUUCUAGCAAGGCCCAACAUUGGUUUUACCAUUUGCCACCUAGCCUUUUCUUUCCCUUGGGUUCUGCAGACUCAAGGGUCAUCUUUAUUUAAACCUCCAGGCCAGUGCUCCUCUUAGUGUUGGUAUAAACUAGAGCCCCUUGCAGCGCCACCUCGGGGAAACUCGAGGGCUGGUUUUAGUUGUACGGAUUGCUUAUACGGUGUGCCCUGAGAACGAGAUAUGUGCAGCUCCUAUUGGGAUUUGUCGGCACAUUCGGGUGGCUUUGCUGGACUUGUUUUACCAUUGUCGAGGAUGUCUUGUAACCGGGAUGCCGAGCCUGAUCGGAUUGUCUUGGGAAAAGGAAUAUCCUUCGUUGACCGUGAGAACUUGUGAUGGGCUAAGUUGGGACACCCCUGCAGGGAUUUGAACUUUCGAAGGUCGUGCCCGCGGUUAUGGGCAUAUGGGAAUUUGUUAAUGUCCGGUUGUAGAAAACCUGAAGUUGACCUUAAUUAAAAUGCACCAACCGCGUGUGUAACCGUGAUGGUCUCUUCUCGGCGGAGUCCGGGAAGUGAACACGGUGUUGGAGUUAUGCUUGACGUAGGUUGUUCUAGGAUCACUUCUUGAUCAUAGUUUCUCGACCGUGCUUUGCCUUCUGUUCUCGCUCUCAUUUGUGUAUGUUAGCCACCAUAUAUGCUAGUCGCUUGCUACAGCUCCACCUCAUACCUUUUACCCUUCCUAUAAGCUUAAAUAGUCUUGAUCGCGAGGAUGUGAGAUUGCUGAGUCCCCGUGACUCACAGAUACUUCCAAAACCAGCUUGCAGGUGCCGAUGAGACCGUGCAGGUGACGCAACCGAGCUCAAGGAGGAGCUCGAUGAAGACUUUGUUCGUAGUGUUGUUUCCAGUUGAUCAGUAGUGGAGCCCAGUUGGGACGAUCGGGGACCUAUGUAGCAUUUGGGGUAGUCUUCUUUUAUUUUGGUUCCAUAGUCGGACCUCGUGUGUAUCUGGUUGAUGUAAUGCUUUAUUCAUGUAUUGUGUGAAGUGGCGAUUGUAAGCCAACUAUGUAUCUCUUUCCCUUAUGUAUUACAUGGGUUGUGUGAACAUUACCUCACUUGCGAC